rnacentral:rRNA from 1 species
UACGGGGGGGGCAAGCGUUGUUCGGAAUUACUGGGCGUAAAGGGCUCGUAGGUGGCCAACUAAGUCAGAUGUGAAAUCCCUCAGCUUAACUGGGGAACUGCUUCUGAUACUGGAUGGCUUGAGUUUGGGAGAGGGAUGCGGAAUUCCAGGUGUAGCGGUGAAAUGCGUAGAUAUCUGGAGGAACACCGGUGGCGAAGGCGGCAUCCUGGACCAACACUGACACUGAAAAGCGAAAGCCAGGGGAGCAAACGGG